rnacentral:lncRNA from 1 species
CGCUCUACCACUGAGCUAAAUCCCCAGCCCCGUUGCUCAACUUUCAUUCCACUACUCAGGAGGCAGAGGCAGGUGGAUCUCUGAAUUUGAGGCCAACCUGGUCUGCAGAAUGAGUUCCAGGACAGCCAGGGCUACACAGAAAAACCCUGUCUUGGAAAAUAAGAAAUGUGCACUACCAUGCCCAACCUAGUAUAAUGAACUCUUUGAUUCUUUAACUUGGAUCUUUUUGUUUUGAUUUUGUUUACUGAGACAGGGUCUCUAUGUAGCUCUUACUGUGCUAGAGCUCUGUAUGUAGACCAGGCUAGCCUCCACCUCACAGCACUCCUGCCUCAGCCUCCUGGUGUCUGGUUUUCUGGGUUUGUUGUUGUUUGCAGGGUUGAUAUUUGGGUCAGUGUCUUGUGGGCACUAGGCAAGCAGGUUACCACAGAGCUGUGCCCAGCCCUGGUUUGGGUUUUGAGGUUGUUGUUUGUAUUUAGGUUUUAUGUUUUGGUCGAAAGUGAGCACUAGUUAGUUACUAUCUGUUGAGAAGGAUUGCUAGUUACUAUCUGUUGAGAAGAAUUGCUAGUUAGUUACUAUCUGUUGAGAAGAUUGCUUUGGGAGUUAGCA